GGUGUUAGAUCCAUACACAGAGAAGGAUGUUAGAUAGAUCAAUGCACAGAGAAGGCUGUUAGAUAGAUCUGUGCACAGAGAAGGCUGUUAGAUCUGUGCACAGAGAAGGGAGUUAGGUAGAUCUAUACACAGAGAAAGGUGUUAGAUCUAUGCACAGAGAAGGGAGUUAGGUAGAUCUAUGUAUGGAGAAGGGUGUUAGAUCUGUGCACAGAGAAGGGUGUUGGAUAGAUCUAUGCACGAAGAAGGGUGUUAGGUAAAUCUAUGUACGGAGAAGGGUGUUAGAUCUAUGCACAGAGAAGGGAGUUAGGUAGAUCUAUGUAUGGAGAAGGGUGUUAGAUCUGUGCACAGAGAAGGGUGUUGGAUAGAUCUAUGCACGGAGAAGGGUGUUAGGUAGAUCUAUGUAUGGAGAAGGGUGUUAGAUCUGUGCACAGAGAAGGGUGUUGGAUAGAUCUAUGCACGGAGAAGGGUGUUAGGUAAAUCUAUGUCCGGAGAAGGGUAUUAGAUCUAUGCACAGAGAAGGGUGUUAGAUCUAUAUACAGAGAAGGUUGUUAGGUAGGUCUGUUCACAGAGAAGGCUGUUAGAUCUAUGUUCAGAGAAGGGAGUUAGGUAGAUCUAUGUACGGAGAAGGGUGUUUGAUAGAUCUAGGUACAGAGAAAGGUGUUAAAUAGAUCUAAGCAAAGAGAUGGGUAUUAGACAGAUCUAUGCACAGAGAAGGCUGUUAGAUAGAUCUAUGUACAGGAAGGGUGUUAGAUAGAUCUAUGCACAGAGAAGGGUGUUAGAUAGAUCUCUGCACAGAGAAGGGUGUUAGAUCUAUGCACAGAGAAGGGAGUUAGGUAGAUCUAUGUACGGAGAAGGGUGUUAGAUAGAUCUAAGCAAAGAGAUGGGUAUUAGACAGAUCUAUGCACAGAGAAGGCUGUUAGAUCUGUGCACAGAGAAGGGUGUUAGAUAGAUCUAUGUACAGAGAAGGGUGUUGGGUAGAUCUAUGCACAGAGAAGGGUGUUGGAUAGAUCUAUGCACAUAGAAGGGUGUUAGAUCUGUGCACAGAGAAGGGUGUUAGAUAGAUCUGUGCACAGAGAAGGCUGUUAUAUCUAUGCACAGAGAAGGGUGUUAGAUAGAUCUAGGUACAGAGAAAGGUGUUAAAUAGAUCUAAGCAAAGAGAUGGGUAUUAGACAGAUCUAUGCACAGAGAAGGCUGUUAGAUAGAUCUAUGUACAGGAAGGGUGUUAGAUAGAUCUUUGCACAGAGAAGGGAGUUACGUAGAUCUAUGUACGGAGAAGGGUGUUAGAUCUAUGCACAGAGAAUGGUGUUAGAUAGAUCUAUGCACAGGAAGGGUGUUAGAUAGAUCUAUGCACAGGAAGGGUGUUAGAUCUAUGCACAGAGAAGGGAGUUAGGUAGAUCUAUGUAUGGAGAAGGGUGUUAGAUCUGUGCACAGAGAAGGGUGUUGGAUAGAUCUAUGCACGGAGAAGGGUGUUAGGUAGAUCUAUGUACGGAGAAGGGUGUUAGAUAGAUCUGUGCACAGAGAAGGGUAUUAGAUAGAUCGAAGCACAGAGAAUGGUGUUAGAUCUAUGCACAGAGAAGGGUGUUAAGUAGAUCUAUGCACAGGAAGGGUGUUAAGUAGAUCUAUGCACAGAGAAGGGUGUUAAGUAGAUCUAUGCACAGAGAAGGGUAAUAGAUAGAUCUGUGCACAGAGAAGGCUGUUAGAUAGAUCUAUUCACAGAGAAGGGUGUUAGAUCUAUUCACAGAGAAGGGUGUUAGACAGAUAUAUGCAGAAGAAGGGUGUUAGAUAGAUCUAUUCACAGAGAAGGGUGUUAGACAGAUCUAUGCACAGGAAGGGUGUUAAGUAGAUCUAUGUACGGAGAAGGGUGUUAGAUCCAUACACAGAGAAGGCUGUUAGAUAGAUCUGUGCACAGAGAAGGGUAUUAGAUAGAUCGAAGCACAGAGAAUGGUGUUAGAUCUAUGCACAGAGAAGGGUGUUAAGUAGAUCUAUGCACAGGAAGGGUGUUAAGUAGAUCUAUGCACAGAGAAGGGUGUUAAAUAGAUCUGUGCACAGAGAAGGGUAUUAGAUAGAUCGAAGCACAGAGAAUGGUGUUAGAUCUAUGCACAGAGAAGGGUGUUAAGUAGAUCUAUGCACAGGAAGGGUGUUAAGUAGAUCUAUGCACAGAGAAGGGUGUUAAGUAGAUCUAUGCACAGAGAAGGGUAAUAGAUAGAUCUGUGCACAGAGAAGGCUGUUAGAUAGAUCUAUUCACAGAGAAGGGUGUUAGAUCUAUUCACAGAGAAGGGUGUUAGACAGAUAUAUGCAGAAGAAGGGUGUUAGAUAGAUCUAUUCACAGAGAAGGGUGUUAGACAGAUCUAUGCACAGGAAGGGUGUUAAGUAGAUCUAUGCACAGAGAAGGGUGUUAGAUAGAUCUGUGCACAGAGAAGGGUGUUAGAUAGAUCUAUGCACAGAGAAGGCUGUUAGAUCUAUGCACAGAGAAGGGUGUUAGAUAGAUCUAUGCACAGAGAAGGCUGUUAGACAGAUCUAUGCAUAGAGACGGGUGUUAGAUAGAUCUAGGUACAGAGACCGGUGUUAGAUAGAUCUAGGUACAGAGAUGGGUGUUAAGUAGAUCUAUGCACAGAGAAGGGUGUUAGAUCUAUGCACAGAGAAGGGUGUUAGAUAGAUCUAUGCACAGGAAGGCUGUUAGGUCUGUGCACAGAGAAGGGUGUUAGAUAGAUCUGUGCACAGAGAAGGGUGUUUGAUAAGUCUAUAUACAGAGAAGGGUGUUUGAUAGAUCUAUGCACAGAGAAGGGUAAUAGAUAGAUCUAUUCAUAGAGAAGGGUGUUAGAUCUAUUCACAGAGAAGGGUGUUAGAUAGAUCUAUGCACAGGAAGGCUGUUAGAUCUGUGCACAGAGAAGGGAGUUAGGUAGAUCUAUGUACGGAGAAGGGUGUUUGAUAGAUCUGUGCACAGAGAAGGGUGUUUGAUAGAUUUAUAUACAGAGAAGGGUGCUUUAGAUAUGUGCAUAGAUCAGGGUGUCCGCAUCAUCUGUGGGAACUCUUUUUUGAUCCUAAGUGCUAGCCCUUCCUCCAACCCUCCUUUCAAUGUGUUUGUCCCGAGUUGGGGGACUGUAUUUGAGCUUGUUGUCUCCCCCAUUAGUGUGUCAGAUUCUUGCCUUUGGGGAUUGUUUCCUGCCUUGUAGUUGUGUCCCCAGCCUCCAGGAUGGCCUCAUGGCACCUGGAAGCCGCUUGUCCCUUGACUGAAUCGAUUAUGAUGAAAUAGCCCUUCAGGAAUCUCAGUGUGUAAUGAGGUACAAGAAGUUUAACAUUUUUUGGCCCAGAGUUUCAAGGACACAGAAAAGGCUGAACAAUAAAGUUUCCAGCACUCAGUGAUCCAGAAGGUAAAUCUCCCACAUAGUCAAUCUCCCUCUCUCAAUCUCUCUCUCUCUGUCUCUCAAUCUCUCUCCCAGUCUCCCCCCCAUUUAUUCCUUAUUCUCCCCCUUCUCUCUCUAAAUCUCUUUCUCUCUCCCUAAAUCUCUCUCAAUCUCCUAAUCUAUCUCUCUCUCAAUCUCCCCCCAUCUUUCCCUUAUCCUCCCCCAUCUUUCUCUCUCAAUCGCUGUCUGUCAAUCUCUCUCCUACUCUCCCCCUAUCUGUCCCCCCCCCUCAAUUUCUAUGUCUCAAUCUCUUUCCCAAUCUCCUCCUAUCCUCCCCCAUCUCUCUCUCUCUCUCUCUCUCCCUCAAUCUCUCUCUCAAUAUUCCACUCUAUCUCUCUAAAUCUCUCUCAAUUGCUGUCUCUCAAUCUCUAUCCCAAUCUCCCCCCAUCUCUCUCUCUCUCUCUCAAUUUCUGUGUCUCAAUCUCCCCCCAUCUGUCCCCUAUCCUCCCCCAUCUCUGUCUCUCAAUCUCUCUCCCAAUCUCCUCCCCCAUCUCUCUUUCUGUGUCCCUUAAUCUCUCUUUCUCUAAAUCUCUCUCUCUGUCUCCCCAUAUCUUCCCCCAUCUCUCUCAAUCUGUCUCUCAAUCUCUCUCCCAAUCUCCCCCCAUCUGUCCCCUAUCCUCCCCUAUCUCUCUCUCUCCCCCUCAAUCUCUCUCUCAAUAUUCCACUCUAUCUCUCUAAAUCUCUCUCAAUUGCUGUCUCUCAAUCUCUAUCCCAAUCUCCCCCCCCCAUCUCUCUUUCUCUCUCAAUUUCUGUGUCUCAAUCUCUUUCCCAAUCUCCCCUCGAUCUGUCCCCUAUCUUCCCCUCUCUCUCUCCUUCUGUCCCCCAAUCAAUCUAUCUCUCUCACCCCCAUCUUUCUCUCAAUAUUCCACUCUAUCUCUCUAAAUCUCUCUCUCUCAAUCUCUAUCCCAAUCUCCCCCCCCAUCUCUCUCUCUCUCUCAAUUUCUGUGUCUCAAUCUCUCUCCAAUCUCCCAAUCUCUCUCUCUCUCUUACCCCCUCAAUCUCUCUCUCAAUAUUCCACUCUAUCUCUCUAAAUCUCUCUCUCAAUCGCUGUCUCUCUCCUCCCCCCACUCUCUCUCUCUCUCCCUCCCUCUCUCCCCCUCAAUAUUCCACUCUAUUUCUCUAAAUCUCUCUCUCUCUCAAUCUCUAUCCCAAACUCCCCUCCCAUCUCUCUCUCUCUCAAUCUCCUCCCCCAUCUGUCCCCUAGCCUCCCCCAUCUCUCUCUCUCUCUUAAUCUCUCUCUCAAUCUCCCAAUCUAUCUCUCUAAAUCUCUCUCUCUCAAUCUCCCCCCAUCUUUCCUCUAUCCUCCCCCAUCUCUCUCUCUCACUCUCUCUCCCAAUCUCCCCCCAUCUGUCCCCUCUCUCCCCCUCAAUCUCUAUCUCUCUCUCAGUAUUCCACUCUAUCUCUCUAAAGCUGUCUCUCAAUCUCUAUCUCAAUCUUCUCCCCCCCCAAUCUAUCUCUGUAUGUCUUUGUAUGUGAGUGGUGGGAGGUGGGUGGUGGUAGGAGGUG